AUCAACAAGAAGUAGAAGAUUCUAGACUGAGCACUCACAAAUAUCUCUGAGCAAGCACAACACUUUCGCAGGGGUGUGAUGAAGGUCGUCUGUGAUGAUGCUCUCUGGAAGAAGUCUGUUGGCUUGACUCUGUGCCAGGUGCUUGAAACAACUGUGGCUUUGCAGAUGGAUUACAGAGACUGGACCCAAAGGCCUCACGUCACCAUGUUCGGUCGAUUGGGGUCUUGUAAGGACAGAGAGAAUUUCUUCUGACUUCAUUUUUAUGAAGAAAAGGGAACUUUCCAGGGCUGUUGUCUUUCCUAGAAUUCCUCCUUUCAAAACAUCUUUGGGGAAUAGAAUUGGAUAUUAGUAAUGCUUUGUGGUUCACUUAAAAAAUAAAAGCAAAAUGUAACUUGAA